rnacentral:tRNA from 1 species
UUGGGAUGACGCACAGUGGUUAUAGUGUUAGUGACUGUUGUGCCGAGGUCCCGGGUAGUGUUCUUUUCUCUAUGGUCCCGGGUUCAAUCCCCGGCUGGGGAAAA